rnacentral:rRNA from 1 species
GGGUCAGUAGGUUGGUCGUGCCACCGGUACGUACUGGUCUCACUGAUUCCUCCUUCCUGAAGAACCGUAAUGCCAUUAAUUUGGUGUUGCGGGGAAACAGGACUGUUACUUUGAAAAAAUUAGAGUGUUUAAAGCAAGCUAACGCUUGAAUACAUUAGCAUGGAAUAAUGAAAUAGGACGAUCGAUCCUAUUUUGUUGGUUUCUAGGAUUGACGUAAUUAUUAGUAGGGAUAGUUGGG